GAUGAACGCUGGCGGCGUGCCUAAUACAUGCAAGUCGAGCGAACAGACGAGGAGCUUGCUCCUCUGACUUUAUCGCCGGACGGGUGAGUAACACGUGGAUAACCUACCUAUAAGACUGGGAUACCUUCGGGAAACCGGAGCUAAUACCGGAUAAUAUAUUGACCCUCGUUGUUCAAUAGUUAAAUACGGUUUUUCUUUCACUUAUAGAUUGAUCCGCCCCGCAUUAGCUAGUUGGUAAGGUAACGGCUUACCAAGGCAACGAUGCGUAGCCGACCUAAGAGGGUGAACGGACACACUGGAACAGAGGAAGGGCCCAGACACCGAGGGGAGGAAGCAGUAGGGAAUCUUACGGGAGGGGGGAAAGGCGGACAGAGCAAAGCGGCGGGAGGGAUGAAGGACCUAGGAUGGGAAAACGCUGUUAGUAGGGAAGAACAAAAGUGUAAGUAACUAUGCACGUAUUGACGGUACCGAAUCAGAAAGCCACGGCUAACUACGUG
rnacentral:rRNA from 1 species